UAAUACGUAGGGGGCGAGCGUUGUCCGGAUUCAUUGGGCGUAAAGAGCUCGUAGGCGGCUUGUCAAGUCGGGUGUGAAACCUCCAGGCUCAACCUGGAGAUGCCACUCGAUACUGACAUGGCUAGAGUCCGGUAGGGGACCACGGAAUUCCUGGUGUAGCGGUGAAAUGCGCAGAUAUCAGGAGGAACACCGGUGGCGAAGGCGGUGGUCUGGGCCGGUACUGACGCUGAGGAGCGAGAGCGUGGGUAGCAAACAGGAUUAGAUACCCUGGUAGUCCACGCCGUAAACGUUGGGCACUAGGUGUGGGGCCUUAUCAACGGGUUCCGUGCCGCAGCUAACGCAUUAAGUGCCCCGCCUGGGGAGUACGGCCGCAAGGCUAAAACUCAAAGGAAUUGACGG
rnacentral:rRNA from 1 species